CAUCAUGUCCUUCGUGGUGUCCAUCUUUAAGGAGAGGCAAGUGUCUGUCUUGCACUGCCGGUUCUGUAGGCAGGUCCUAAGUACACGCGGAAUGAAGGCAGAGCUGCUGGCAGGAACAGACCAGGAGAUGUUUUCCACAGAUAUCCCCCCCACAUAUUCUGUAGACUUUGUGGGGAGCUGUUAUUAUCUGGAAGCAUGCAGAUGCAAACUGAAGAGCAUAGCCUGCCUAAAAUGUGGUAAUGAAGUCGGCUACCACGUGGUGGCUCCAUGUCGCCCGUGUCUAUUGUCCUGUAAUAAUGGCCACUUAUGGAUGUUUCAUAGCCAGUAUGUGUACAGCAUUAACAGGAUGGAUGAAUCAGAACCAUUUUUCUCAGCUUUACUGCCUGGUGAUGCAGCACUGCAAGUAGUAAAGUAACCUAGACCACAGCAGCGACCCAGUACUGAUAGCAAAAGCUGAAGGAGGUCGAGAAAAGAACAGCUGCUGUCUGCAUUCAGCAAAGUCAUACUUCGAAAUGGAUAAAGAGGAAAGUACAUACUGCUAUGGAAAGAUCUACCAGACACAGAUGAAAAACAGGAAGGCUUAUUAAGCCCGUGUGACGAUGAGCAUGAGAUUUAUCUCAGAUGAGGUUCUCUUUGCAGGAGACUGGAAUCUGGCCUAUUCGUAUUUUUUUUAUUUAUAUGAUACCAACAUAUUCUGCAGUGCUUUACGGUUCUGGAAACAUUUGCAAAACAGAGACAAAAGGAGAAAAGCUUUAUGCUAGCAGUGUCUUAUUGACAACAAUACACUGGAGUCUGUUCCCAAGUAAACAAAAAGUUGUUAGAAUAGAAUGAAACAUUAUAUAUAAAUGUAUUGAUGAUCUAUGUAAGUAAUUACAAUAAAGCGAAAGGAUCUGUUUAUUGGUGAAACUGUGCAAUUGCAAGGAAGCUCUAGUCCACCGUUGGGCCACCUUUAACCUUGAUGAAAGAUGAGAUAUGGUCUAUAGUUGGGCAUGGAGGCAUACCGCAGCACAUUUACCUACAGAUGUUAUAGCCAGUAGAUUCUGCACACUGGUAUCUUGCCAAAGCAAGCAUCCCAGCUGGUAUUAGAAAUGCGUGAAUGAGGAUACAUCUGGCGAAAGAGCAGGUCAAGAAAGUGUGAGCAAGCAUUAUCUUGCUGAAAAAUGCCAGUUGGAAGCUCUUCCACUAGAGGCAGCACAUGAGUAAAGGAUGCCAUGCACAUAUUGCUGAGCUCUGAGGGUCCCUUCUAUCACUACUAUGGAGUAGGAGGGUCUGUAUGGAAUGACUCCCCAGAUCAUAACACUUGGCAGUUGGGCCAAGGUAUCUCUCCAUAGCAAAGACAGGAUUGAAGCUCUCGCUGCUAGGCUUCCAUACUCCAAUGUUUCUGAAUCCCAAACAAAACCUUGAUUUAUCACUGAAGAUGAUACAGUUCCAGUCUGUAGCAGUCAAGGCUUCUCGCUCACAACGCUUCUGAAAAGAAGAGACAGUGGCUGCCUGGCAAAAGUGUAACACUUAAUAGGUGCCGUGACACCAUAUUUCCUUCUGCUAAGUGCCUAAUCUAGACAGAGAAAGAGGUGUGUUAUGAGGGUGCCACCUAUGUUUGGAUGGAAGACAAGGAAACUGGGGAAGUGUUGUCUGAAUAAUUAAUCCUCUCUACUGGUGGUCUGUCUGGACCAGCUACCGAAUGUGUAUGACCUCCUAACAGCUCGGUCAGAUUGGCCAGGAUCAAAAUUACCAUCCUGCUUCUCUCAGUUUGAUGAUGCACCCUUAAUCACAGUCUUUCAACUUGCCAAAUUGUCUUCAAGUGCAUCAUAGAGGCAUGUCUAUCAGUCAAGUGUGAAAGUGGUUUAACCCCUUAGGGACACAAUGGGUUUUGGCCUUGUGGAUAUAGCCAAUUUUCAUUUUUGCAUUUUCAUUUUUUUCCUCCUUCACCUUUUAAAGGAGAUCUGCAGCCAUAGACACUUAUCCCCCUAUCCGCUGAAUAGGGGAUAAGUGUCGGAUCACGGGGAGGUCCGAACGCUGGGCCCCCCGGCAAUCUCCUGUAUGGGGCCUUGGCUCUCCCAUGCAGGAUGCACGUCGGCCGCAGCAUGACCCCACGCCCGACACGCCUCCUACAUGUAUCUCUAUGGGAGAGGCGGAGAUGCAUAGUUCGUGCAUCCUCGCCUCUCCCAUAGAGCUGUAUGGACGGGGCUUGUUGACGCUCACUGAGGUUGACGACACACGCAUUAGCUGCGCAGACCUGCGAUAAUGCCAGGUCCCCGUACAGGAGAUCACGGGGGGUCCCAGCGGUCGGAUCCCCCGCGAUCAGACACUUAUCCCUUAUCCUGCGUAUAGGGGAUAAGUGUCUAUGGCUGCAGUACUCCUUUAAGACUUUACUUUUGUUUCUCCGUGCACAGAGCCAUAUGAGAGCUUGUUUUUUGAACAACCAAUUGUACUUUGUAAUGACCCCUUUUAUUUUACCAUAAAAUGUUCAGUGCAAUGAACAAAAUAUAUGUGGUUGAAAAUCUUAAAAGCCUCUCAAUUUUGUAACUUUUGGGGUUUUGUUUGUACGCAGUGCACUUUAUGGUUAAAACGGACACAGUGGCCUUUAUUUAUGAAUCAGCCUGAAACCUAAAUUGUCUGGUUUUUGCCACAGCAACCAACCACAACUCAACUUUACUAGAGCUUGUUAAGAUAUGAAAGUUGAGAUGUGACUGGUUGCUGUAGGAAAAAUUAGACAAUUAGGGUUUCAGGCUGAUUGAUAAAUGUAGGCCAGUAUCUUUAUUUUGUGGGUCAAUACGAUUAAAAUGACACCUAUACAGUAUUACAUACAGUGAGUCAAAAAAGUAUUUAGUCAGCCACCAAUUGUGCAAGUUCUCCCACUUAAAAAGAUGAGAGGCCUGUAAUUUUCAUCAGAGGUA